rnacentral:rRNA from 1 species
AACGAACGCUGGCGGCAGGCCUAACACAUGCAAGUCGAGCGAGACCUUCGGGUCUAGCGGCGGACGGGUUAGUAACGCGUGGGAACGUACCCUUUUCUACGGAAUAGCCUCGGGAAACUGAGAGUAAUACCGUAUACGCCCUUCGGGGGAAAGAUUUAUCGGAGAAGGAUCGGCCCGCGUUAGAUUAGAUAGUUGGUGGGGUAAUGGCCUACCAAGUCUACGAUCUAUAGCUGGUUUGAGAGGAUGAUCAGCAACACUGGGACUGAGACACGGCCCAGACUCCUACGGGAGGCAGCAGUGGGGAAUCUUAGACAAUGGGCGCAAGCCUGAUCUAGCCAUGCCGCGUGAGUGAUGAAGGCCUUAGGGUCGUAAAGCUCUUUCGCCUGUGAAGAUAAUGACUGUAGCAGGUAAAGAAACCCCGGCUAACUCCGUGCCAGCAGCCGCGGUAAUACGGAGGGGGUUAGCGUUGUUCGGAAUUACUGGGCGUAAAGCGCGCGUAGGCGGACUAUUAAGUCAGAGGUGAAAUCCCAGGGCUCAACCCUGGAACUGCCUUUGAUACUGGUAGUCUUGAGUUCGAGAGAGGUGAGUGGAAUUCCGAGUGUAGAGGUGAAAUUCGUAGAUAUUCGGAGGAACACCAGUGGCGAAGGCGGCUCACUGGCUCGAUACUGACGCUGAGGUGCGAAAGUGUAGGGAGCAAA